AACGCAAAUUGCACUUUCUGGUAUUCCGGAAAGUAUGCCUGUUUGAGGGUCAGUUAAAUAAAAAUCGGUGUUGUUGCUGCCUUUCGUGGUGACGCGUCGGAAUUGGGUCGUCUUACCUUUGGUUAAGUGACUUAAAAUUUUUCAUGAUUUUUGAACGUAUUUAAAUUGCUUACGUACGUUUGAGAUAUCGAAUGUUUUAUUAGGUUCGGUCAUCCUCAUGACCCGCGCCUAUAAUUUUUCAUUAAAUGACCUCAAAUCAGGUAAGAAUACCCGCUGAACUUAA
rnacentral:misc_RNA from 1 species